rnacentral:rRNA from 1 species
GAUGAACGCUGGCGGCGUGCCUAAUACAUGCAAGUCGAACGAAAGGACGAGAAGAUUGCUUUCUUAAUGGUAGCGGCGGACGGGCGGGUAACAAAUGGAUAACCAUCCUCUUUUACUGGGGGGAUUACGGAAAGAAGCUGCUGCUAACGCAUAAUAUUUUCUACCGCAGAGAUCAAAAGUGCUAGACGGCUUUGCUGUCACUAAUAGCUGGAUCCGUGCUGCAUUAGCUAGUUGGUAAGGUAACGGCUCACCAAGGCGACGAUGCAUAGCCGACCUGAGAGGGUGAUCAGCCACACUGGAACUGAGACACGGUCCAGACUCCUACGGGAGGCAGCAGUGGGGAAUAUUCCGCAAUGGGCGAAAGCCUGACCGAGCAACGCCGCGUGAGUGAAGAAGGUCUUCGGGUUGUAAAGCCCUGUUAUUAGGGAAGAACACAAGUGUAAUUAUACGCCGAUGUUCUGACGGUACCUAAAGAGAAAGCCACGGCUAACUUCGUG